GGAAAGGCAAAAGCUAAUAUAUUAAUAAACCCAAGCAUAAGGAAUGCUAAGGUAAAGAAAUAAUAGUACAUGAAUUCAUUGUCUAAUACAUGGUAUACACCUCUCAUAACACUACAGGAAAAUAUGAACAUCACCACUACAUAGAAUUAAGCUGCAUCACCGAUACUGAGAUUAGAAAACAGAGAUUUACUCAUCCAGGCAUNNN
rnacentral:lncRNA from 1 species